rnacentral:rRNA from 1 species
GAGGAAUAUUGGUCAAUGGAUGCAAAUCUGAACCAGCCAAGUAGCGUGCAGGAUGACGGCCCUAUGGGUUGUAAACUGCUUUUAUGUGAGAAUAAAGUUAGGUAUGUAUACUUAUUUGCAUGUAUCACAUGAAUAAGGACCGGCUAAUUCCGUGCCAGCAGCCGCGGUAAUACGGAAGGUCCAGGCGUUAUCCGGAUUUAUUGGGUUUAAAGGGUGCGUAGGCCGUUUGAUAAGCGUGCUGUGAAAUAUAGUGGCUCAACCUCUAUCGUGCAGCGCGAACUGUUGAACUUGAGUGCGUAGUAGGUAGGCGGAAUUCGUGGUGUAGCGGUGAAAUGCUUAGAUAUCACGAAGAACUCCGAUUGCGAAGGCAGCUUACCGUAACGUUACUGACGCUUAAGCACGAAGGUGCGGGUAUCGAACAGGAUUAGAUACCCUGGUAGUCCGCACAGUAAACGAUGGAUGCUCGCUGUUGGCCUUUAUGGUCAGUGGCUUAGCGAAAGCGUUAAGCAUCCCACCUGGGGAGUACGCCGGCAACGGUG